AUGGACCUCACAAACCAACGCGAUCGCCAAAGAGUGUAUGUGGCAUUUAACCAAAUGAAGCACUCUACAAGGCUACAUGUUCGUAACUAUUUUUAUGAAGAUAUCGAUUUCAGUUUGAUGUAUAUCUGUUCAUUCCUGUCUUUAAAGAUAAUGUAUAGUUUCUCAUACUGCACAAUAUCUGUUAAAUUGUAA